rfam:TPA: Bos taurus chromosome 1, whole genome shotgun sequence.
UCCCUGAUAGCUCAGUUGGUAAAGAAUCUGCCUGCAAUACAGGAGAUCCCGGUUCGAUUCCUGGGUUGGGAA